GUCUGGCUGCAGAGGUCAAAACUGCCUUAUUAAUUGUUAAUAAAGCUCAGUGAGGCCUUCAUCCUAUCUCUUUCCUACCUACAGUGCUUCCUGUCCCUACAAGAGUGCUGGGAUUAGAGGUAUGGACCACCAUGCCAGGGUGACAAACUUCUAUUCUUAAGUGAUGUAUGCUGAGCACUGAGAGUGAUGUGUCAUGAAAUGAAUCUAACUUUCCAAUGACUCGUAAACAGCAGAAGAAAACAAGCAGGCUGGCCCAGCUGCAGAUUGCCCAACCUGAGCAACCGGACCAACCUGAGCACAACAAGGUCACACAGUGCAUCAGACAGGGGAGCACCAGUGGCUAUGCUGUGCUCCUAGCCACCCAGGACACUCCCAGUGGACCUGGCACUAAAGGGAUGCCCAAGUUGGAGCCAGGCCCACAGAGGCAGCUUCUCGGGAACCUCAGAAACAGGCUGAAGGGUGACCAGGGGCAGCGACCACACAGGCAUGCUUUCUGCCUUGCGCCUCUUCACAGCAGUGGCUCCAUCAGCACCGAGCACUGGGACCAGCUCAAAGAAGAAUGCACGUGGAAGUUACAGUGACAGACCCGCCUACACCAUUCCUGUCUUUUCCAUCUGACAAAAAGUAGUUAUUUUAAAAUUUGAUCCUUUCUCUACCCUCUUCCCUUGGUUUGAAUUCUCUGCUGAGUUAUUUUGGUUCCUUUGGUGGGAAUCAACAUCCUAUCUACCACUAAAACUAAAUUAUCAGAUUUGAGGAGUUUUGUUUGUUUGAUUUUGCAACAGUGAGAAAGGACUUCUGUUAAGCUUACUUCUAGCAUACAUGAUUACUGUCUACUGUGUUCUGUAUUUAUUUGUUUUUUUACUAAAUGGAAAGUUAUCAAUAAAGCCUUUGUCAGAGGAUUUAUUUCUUUACAGAAAAGAAUACAGACUCAUAAAUCAGACAGACCUAAAUCUUUUCAAGUCACAUGACUGAGGGCAAGAUAUAAACCUAUCCAAACCACAGUUUUCUUGUCCCUGUAAAAUGGUAAUAUUAGAA
rnacentral:lncRNA from 1 species